UGGAUCCAGACUUUGAUUCUGGCUCAGGAUGAACGCUAGCUACAGGCUUAACACAUGCAAGUCGAGGGGCAGCAUGGUCUUAGCUUGCUAAGGCCGAUGGCGACCGGCGCACGGGUGAGUAACACGUAUCCAACCUGCCGUCUACUCUUGGACAGCCUUCUGAAAGGAAGAUUAAUACAAGAUGGCAUCAUGAGUCCGCAUGUUCACAUGAUUAAAGGUAUUCCGGUAGACGAUGGGGAUGCGUUCCAUUAGAUAGUAGGCGGGGUAACGGCCCACCUAGUCUUCGAUGGAUAGGGGUUCUGAGAGGAAGGUCCCCCACAUUGGAACUGAGACACGGUCCAAACUCCUACGGGAGGCAGCAGUGAGGAAUAUUGGUCAAUGGGCGAGAGCCUGAACCAGCCAAGUAGCGUGAAGGAUGACUGCCCUAUGGGUUGUAAACUUCUUUUAUAAAGGAAUAAAGUCGGGUAUGCAUACUCGUUUGCAUGUACUUUAUGAAUAAGGAUCGGCUAACUCCGUGCCAGCAGCCGCGGUAAUACGGAGGAUCCGAGCGUUAUCCGGAUUUAUUGGGUUUAAAGGGAGCGUAGAUGGAUGUUUAAGUCAGUUGUGAAAGUUUGCGGCUCAACCGUAAAAUUGCAGUUGAUACUGGAUAUCUUGAGUGCAGUUGAGGCAGGCGGAAUUCGUGGUGUAGCGGUGAAAUGCUUAGAUAUCACGAAGAACUCCGAUUGCGAAGGCAGCCUGCUAAGCUGCAACUGACAUUGAGGCUCGAAAGUGUGGGUAUCAAACAGGAUUAGAUACCCUGGUAGUCCACACGGUAAACGAUGAAUACUCGCUGUUUGCGAUAUACAGCAAGCGGCCAAGCGAAAGCGUUAAGUAUUCCACCUGGGGAGUACGCCGGCAACGGUGCAACUCAAAUGAAUUGACGGA
rnacentral:rRNA from 1 species